rnacentral:snRNA from 1 species
AGCUUUGCGCAGUGGCAGUAUCGUAGCCAAUGAGGUUUAUCCGAGGCUCGAUUAUUGCUAAUUGAAAAAUAUACAUUAUG